GACGGAGGGUGCGAACGUUGUUCGGAAUCACUGGGCAUAAAGAGCACGUAGGCGGUUCGUUAAGUCAGGUGUGAAAGCCCCCGGCUCAACCGGGGAAUUGCUUCUGAUACUGGCGAGCUAGAGGACGGUAGGGGUGAGUGGAACUCCAGGUGGAGCGGUGAAAUGCGUAGAUAUCUGGAGGAACACCGGUGGCGAAAGCGGCUCACUGGACCGUUUCUGACGCUGAGGUGCGAAAGCUAGGGGAGCGAACGGG
rnacentral:rRNA from 1 species